rnacentral:rRNA from 1 species
AUACGGAGGAUCCGAGCGUUAUCCGGAUUUAUUGGGUUUAAAGGGAGCGUAGGCGGACGCUUAAGUCAGUUGUGAAAGUUUGCGGCUCAACCGUAAAAUUGCAGUUGAUACUGGGUGUCUUGAGUACAGUAGAGGCAGGCGGAAUUCGGGGGGUAGCGGUGAAAUGCUUAGAGAUCACGAAGAAAUCCGAUUGCGAAGGCAGCCUGCUGGACUGUAACUGACGCUGAUGCUCGAAAGUGUGGGUAUCAAACAGGAUUAGAUACCCUGGUAGUCCACACAGGAAACGAUGAAUACUCGCUGUUUGCGAUAUACAGUAAGCGGCCAAGCGAAAGCGUUAAGUAUUCCACCUGGGGAGUACGCCGGCAACGGUGAAACUCAAAUGAAUUGACG